UACAGUGGGGGCAAGCGUUGUUCGGAAUUACUGGGCGUAAAGGGCUCGUAGGCGGCCGGCUAAGUCCGACGUGAAAUCCCAGGCUUAACCUGGGAACUGCGUCGGAUACUGGCGGGCUUGAAUCCGGGAGAGGGAUGCGGAAUUCCAGGUGUAGCGGUGAAAUGCGUAGAUAUCUGGAGGAACACCGGUGGCGAAGGCGGCAUCCUGGACCGGCAUUGACGCUGAAUAGCGAAAGCCAGGGGAGCAAACGGG
rnacentral:rRNA from 1 species